CCUCAUCCUUAUGUUCUCCCCGAUUCGUUGAAUGUUUUUACAUUUUUUCUCCCGUAUUUUGAGAGUUUGUUGGGGUUGUUGGUGAGGGAGGAAGGAAGAGAGGGAGAAGAGAGAGAGAAACGGGCAGUUGCUUCUUCCUCUUCUGCUGAGUCAGACACAAGCUUUUCUUGCAUUUUAAAGAAAUAUGAAAAAAAUGUGAAGAAAUUUGAAGAAAUCUUGAAAAAAGAGAAAGAGAAUGAG
rnacentral:ribozyme from 1 species